CUUUCAACAAUACCUCAAUAAUUAUUGACACCACAGAGCAGUAAUUCAACAAUAAAGUUGUUGGGUAGUUCACAACAAAAAAGUCGUUGACUAAAUUCUUUGACAUAUUGUUGAAUAUUAUUGAGUAUUAUUGAGCCAUUGUUGAGUAGUUUCCAACAAAAAAGUCGUUGACUAAA
rnacentral:lncRNA from 1 species